CUACUAUGUUCAGAGUUUGAUCCUGGCUCAGGACGAACGCUGGCGGCGUGCCUAACACAUGCAAGUCGAACGGGGCACCUUCGGGUGCUUAGUGGCGAACGGGUGAGUAACGCGUGAGAAACCUGCCUUUCAUGGGGGACAACAGUUGGAAACGACUGCUAAUACCGCAUGAUGUAUCGAGGGGGCAUCCCUUUGAUACCAAAGCUUAAUGUGCUGAAAGAUGGUCUCGCGUCUGAUUAGCUAGUUGGUGAGGUAACGGCUCACCAAGGCGACGAUCAGUAGCCGGUCUGAGAGGAUGAACGGCCACAUUGGGACUGAGAUACGGCCCAG
rnacentral:rRNA from 1 species